UACGGGGGGUGCGAGCGUUGUCCGGAAUCAUUGGGCGUAAAGCGCGCGUAGGCGGCCUCAUAAGUCCGUUGUGAAAGUCAAAGGCUCAACCUUUGAAAGCCGAUGGAUACUGUGAGGCUAGAGUCCGGAAGAGGCGAGUGGAAUUCCUGGCGUAGCGGUGGAAUGCGCAGAUAUCAGGAGGAACACCAAUAGCGAAGGCAGCUCGCUGGGACGGUACUGACGCUAAGGCGCGAAAGCGUGGGGAGCGAACAGG
rnacentral:rRNA from 1 species